GUAAGGAGAAAAUGUCACAUAAGGCGCUCUUCCGCUUCCUCGCUCACUGACUCGCUACGCUCGGUCGUUCGACUGCGGCGAGCGGUGUCAGCUCACUCAAAGGCGGUAAUACGGUUAUCCACAGAAUCAGGGGAUAACGCCGGAAAGAACAUGUG
rnacentral:rRNA from 1 species